rnacentral:rRNA from 1 species
GACGAACGCUGGCGGCGUGCCUAAUACAUGCAAGUCGAGCGGGAUUAUGCUUGAUCGCUUCGGUGAGACGGCAUAUAUCCUAGCGGCGGACGGGUGAGUAACGCGUGGGUAAUCUACCUCGUAGUUCGGGAUAACAGGCCGAAAGGCUUGCUAAUACCGGAUGAGUUCAUGCUUAUGCAUAUAGGCAUGAAGAAAGGGCUAGCCCGCUAUGAGAUGAGCCCGCGUCCCAUUAGCUUGUUGGUGGGGUAAUGGCCUACCAAGGCAACGAUGGGUAGCCGGCCUGAGAGGGUGUACGGCCACACUGGGACUGAGACACGGCCCAGACUCCUACGGGGGGCAGCAGUAGGGAAUUUUCGGCAAUGGGCGAAAGCCUGACCGAGCGACGCCGCGUGAGGGACGAAGGCCUUCGGGUUGUAACCUCUGUCUGGGGGAUGAGAACGGACGGUACCCCCGGACGGAAGCCCCGGCUAACCUACGUAGCCAGCCAGCCGCCGGUAAAUAAGCGUACU